GUCAGGCCGAGCCGCUCCGCUCACGAAAGGCAAACUGAGAUACAACUUGCUGAUUUUUGUGGUCACAUGAUAAUUUAAAAAUGGCAGAACUCUUUAUGGAAUGUGAAGAGGAGGAGCUAGAACCAUGGCAGAAGAAAGUGAAAGAAGUUGAAGAGGAUGAUGAUGAUGAGCCCAUCUUCGUAGCAGAGAUAGCAAGUUCAAAACCAGCUAUUUCAAAUAUUUUGAACAGAGUUAACCCGAGCUCUCAUUCAAGAGGAAUAAAGAAUGGUAUACUUAAUCGAGGUUUUACUGCUUCAUUCAAGCCUACAAGUCAACGCUGCCCGAAUUCAGCAUCAAAUCCUGUGGCUGCCUUGCCAGUAAAUUUUCAUCCUG
rnacentral:lncRNA from 1 species